GACGAACGCUGGCGGCAUGCCUAAUACAUGCAAGUCGAGCGAACAGAUGAAGUGCUUGCACUUCUGACGUUAGCGGCGGACGGGUGAGUAACACGUAAGGAAUCUACCUAUAAGAGGGGGAUAACAUUCGGAAACGGGUGCUAAUACCGCAUAAUAUCUUCUUCCGCAUGGAAGAAGAUUGAAAGACGGCUCUGCUGUCACUUAUAGAUGACCUUGCGGUGCAUUAGUUAGUUGGUGGGGUAAUGGCCUACCAAGACGAUGAUGCAUAGCCGACCUGAGAGGGUGAUCGGCCACAUUGGGACUGAGACACGGCCCAAACUCCUACGGGAGGCAGCAGUAGCGAAUCUUCCGCAAUGGGCGAAAGCCUGACGGAGCAAUGCCGCGUGAGUGAAGAAGGCCUUCGGGUCGUAAAACUCUGUUAUAAGAGAAGAACAAAUUGUAGAGUAACUGCUACAGUCUUGACGGUACCUUAUCAGAAAGCCACGGCUAACUACGUGCCAGCCGCCGCCGUAA
rnacentral:rRNA from 1 species